rnacentral:ncRNA from 1 species
UCUGCCGUGGGCGUUGGAAGAUUGAAGGGGGCUGCUCUAGUACGAGAGGACCGGAGUGGACGAACCUCUGGUGUUCGGGUUGUCAUGCCAAUGGCAUUGCCCGGUAGCUAAGUUCGGAAUCGAUAACCGCUGAAAGCAUCUAAGCGGGAAGCGAGCCCUGAGAUGAGUCUUCCCUGAUACUUUAAGUAUCCUAAAGGGUUGUUCGAGACUAGAACGUUGAUAGGCAGGGUGUGUAAGCGUUGUGAGGCGUUGAGCUAACCUGUACUAAUUGCCCGUGAGGCUUAACCAU